AGCUUGGAAUUAGGUGCAUUGUGGUCUUGCUGGUAUCCAAAUUUGAUCCAUAUAUAUCCCACAAUGCAAACCGGGCAUAAAAUUCAAUCACGUGUGUUUUGCCCGUAUCUGUUGUGCAUGAAACCAUUGAUUGAACGUAGGAAAGCCACUAAUUUUUCCCGCACAGUCUAACAAAUCGUUAGUAAAAUGCCUGAAAGUUGUGCAGCUUAUGACUGCACCAACCGUCGAGUCAUGGGAGGUGUUGUCUCAUUUAAUAAAUUUCCUCUUGGAAAGCAGGCUAUACUCACUAAAGUGGGUGACGGCAAUCAGGUUGUGCAGCGAGCACUUCAAGAAGGAUGACUACAUGAGAGGUAAUCAUCCCAGAGAUGACCGAGAAAAUAUUCAACAUAGAAUCAGGAGUCUGCUGUACCCUCCAUCUUUCCAGCUUACCCACCACAUAAACAACAGAAGCAAGCGAGUAAGAGGCCUCCACCUAGAAGAAAAAUGAUGACAGCGGAUCCUGGCUCACAAUCUCCUCCAUUAAAAACUGUUAAUGUUGCAGAAGAGCACAUGUAUGCAAAGAUCAAAACAUGAUAAACCAGGGACAGUUGGAGCUGUUGAAGCUGAACUUCGUACUGAAUACAUUUACGCUGAUUGAAAAUGAGCUGAAGUAAAUGGAGAAAGACAAACAUGGUCACAUGUUCUCUGAGGAAAUCAAGCAGUUCGCGUCACACUACAUGUCUAUAGUGCCCAGGGUAUGAUUUUGUUAGACAGUAUUUACAUCUCCCACAAGACUGUCAUUAUGACAUCAUCACCUGUCGUGUGACAUCAUCUUAAAGGUGUUUUAUUUUAAAUAUUUGAAAAUCUGUAACAAAUCAGCCACAAGAGACCGUAGGUUUUUGUUUGCAGGAUUGGGUAGGGAUAAAUUAGGUCUUCAUUUUAUUUCGUGUGCGUGACCUCUCAUCUAAAAGUGGCAAAAGUUAUGAAGUGGCUUUCAACGAUGUUAGUGCCUGGCAAAUGUGAGCAGUUAAAAACAAAUAUCAAUGACGUCACAAAGUGCAACUCUAGCGACAGGUUGAAAACUCAGUGGCGAAGUUUUGUGUAAUCGCCUCAAAAUGUACACAUGUUGAUUGCUGGCAGCCGUCAUUAUGUGUGAAGUUUCAGAUCGAUGACGUCACCAGAGGUCACGUGAUGUCGGUACCAGAGGUCACGAGACGUGGCAUUAAAGGUGCAUUUUUUGAAAUCGUAUAUCUCCCGAAGAAAUUAUGCGAUUAAUUUGAAACUUGGUGGAAUGUUAGAUACAGUGUGUACAUGGCAAGUUCGUGUAAAUUCUCUAUUUGUGCACAAAUGACAUUGUGUGUAGUUUGUCAUUAUUAUCAUAAUUAAAAAAAAAUUUUUUUUGGGGGGGGCAGGAAUACUCUUUUUUUUCUUUGGGUCCAGGCUUUCAAUGGUUGAUGUACAUCUGUACAAUAUAUUAUCUGCGAACACAUUGAAUUAUUUCAAAUUUUUAGUUGAAUGCAGGGACCAGUCUUCAGAUUUGAACAAGUGGAAAGUUUGUGUUGCAUGUUGUUGAUUUACAUAUAAGAACAGGUUUUUUUCUGUUGGAUUUACCAAGUUUUAUUUUAAUUAACUUUCAUAUAACAUUUUGUUUAUGUUUGAAUAAGGUUU